GGCACACGUUACAUGAAUCUCUACUCCUAAAAAAAUCAAAAGUCGGAUCUUUUUUUUGGUGUUACCGCAGGCGGGCGAGCCUUCGCUACGCCAACUGCGAUCUUGCGCCGUGCGAUCAGUGUCCUCGGCGUGCGAGCCAUCUCCGCGCCGUCCAACCCUCCCCUCCAUCCGACGCCCCCGACGCACGAAGCCUCGCCACCGCUAGGAAGGCAUCCGAUGGUUUUGCGCCCCCCACGCCCGGCAACAUCCGCGACGUGACCGCCCUCUGACGCCUCUUCGACCGUGCCCUGUGCCGCCGCCGCACGCCCUCCUCCUCUCCUCGCUCUCCCUGCGACUCAGCGAGAUCACCACCGCGCCGUCGUCGGAGCCAUGCCGUCACCGUGCCGUCGUCGACAAGCCCUACCAAAACCACCGUGGAACACCAGCAUCGUCGACGUCGAGAGGCAGGCCCUCCUCGCCGGCGGCAACGUCAAGAUCGCGUCCUUCCAGCGCAAUCUACACAUCACCGGAGCAUGCCUCAAGAACCUGGUGGCACCUCAUUGGGCAAUAGGCGUAGGUUUUCCUUUUCUGCAUCUGCAGAAGAAAAAACAUGGUCAUGCCUUGGAUUGACAAACAUAUCUGUUGUAAUAUCAAUAAUGAUCACUACAUUUCAUUCAAAAGAAAAGGGCAGCUCAGUUAUAUGAAUA